rnacentral:rRNA from 1 species
GCUGAUUUGGGAAGCCUGGGAACUGGGUCUAAUACCGAAUAGGACCGCGGCAUUCAUGGGCUGUGGUGGAAAGCUUUUGCGGUGUGGGAUGGGCCCGCGGCCUAUCAGCUUGUUGGUGGGGUAAUGGCCUACCAAGGCGACGACGGGUAGCCGGCCUGAGAGGGUGACCGGCCACACUGGGACUGAGAUACGGCCCAGACUCCUACGGGAGGCAGCAGUGGGGAAUAUUGCACAAUGGGCGCAAGCCUGAUGCAGCGACGCCGCGUGAGGGAUGACGGCCUUCGGGUUGUAAACCUCUUUCAGUACCGACGAAGCGCAAGUGACGGUAGGUACAGAAGAAGGACCGGCCAACUACGUGCCAGCAGCCGCGGUAAUACGUAGGGUCCGAGCGUUGUCCGGAAUUACUGGGCGUAAAGAGCUCGUAGGUGGUUUGUCGCGUUGUUCGUGAAAACUCACAGCUUAACUGUGGGCGUGCGGGCGAUACGGGCAGACUGGAGUACUGCAGGGGAGACUGGAAUUCCUGGUGUAGCGGUGGAAUGCGCAGAUAUCAGGAGGAACACCGGUGGCGAAGGCGGGUCUCUGGGCAGUAACUGACACUGAGGAGCAAAAAGCGUGCGGAGU